rnacentral:rRNA from 1 species
ACUGCCUGAUGGAGGGGGAUAACUACUGGAAACGGUGGCUAAUACCGCAUAACGUCGCAAGACCAAAGAGGGGGACCUUCGGGCCUCUUGCCAUCAGAUGUGCCCAGAUGGGAUUAGCUUGUUGGUGAGGUAACGGCUCACCAAGGCGACGAUCCCUAGCUGGUCUGAGAGGAUGACCAGCCACACUGGAACUGAGACACGGUCCAGACUCCUACGGGAGGCAGCAGUGGGGAAUAUUGCACAAUGGGCGCAAGCCUGAUGCAGCCAUGCCGCGUGUAUGAAGAAGGCCUUCGGGUUGUAAAGUACUUUCAGCGGGGAGG